UGGCUAUGRGGUUGGCUUGAAACCAAYUAGAGAGGGUUCGAUUCCU
rnacentral:tRNA from 1 species